rnacentral:rRNA from 1 species
UACGGGGGGGGCAAGCGUUGUUCGGAAUUACUGGGCGUAAAGGGCUCGUAGGCGGCCAACUAAGUCGGACGUGAAAUCCCCAGGCUCAACCUGGGAACUGCGUCUGAUACUGGAAAGCUCGAGUCCGGGAGAGGUGAGUGGAACUGCGAGUGUAGAGGUGAAAUUCGUAGAUAUUCGCAAGAACACCAGUGGCGAAGGCGGCUCACGGGCCCGGUACUGACGCUGAGGUGCGAAAGCGUGGGGAGCAAACAGG